GUGUCCUGGGGUAGUUGGUUAUCACGUUAGUCUAACACACUGAAGGUCUCCAGUUCGAAUCCGGGAGGAAUAAAGUGCACA
rnacentral:tRNA from 1 species